GAUGAACGCUGGCGGCGUGCCUAAUACAUGCAGGUCGAGCGAACAGACGAGGAGCUUGCUCCUCUGACGUUAGCGGCGGACGGGUGAGUAACACGUGGAUAACCUACCUAUAAGACUGGGAUAACUUCGGGAAACCGGAGCUAAUACCGGAUAAUAUAUUGAACCGCAUGGUUCAAUAGUGAAAGACGGUUUUGCUGUCACUUAUAGAUGGAUCCGCGCCGCAUUAGCUAGUUGGUAAGGUAACGGCUUACCAAGGCAACGAUGCGUAGCCGACCUGAGAGGGUGAUCGGCCACACUGGAACUGAGACACGGUCCAGACUCCUACGGGAGGCAGCAGUAGGGAAUCUUCCGCAGUGGGCGAAAGCCUGACGGAGCAACGCCGCGUGAGUGAUGAAGGUCUUCGGAUCGUAAAACUCUGUUAUUAGGGAAGAACAAAUGUGUAAGUAACUAUGCACGUCUUGACGGUACCUAAUCAGAAAGCCACGGCUAACUACGUG
rnacentral:rRNA from 1 species